UUUUUGGUACUCAAAGAUACGAUAUAUGAAAAGUUAUCGUAUUACUAGAUAUUAUUGUAUGAUAUUAAUUAAUAAACUUAACGAACUUAAUAAACGUACUCGGAACUGCGAAGCGUUAAGCUAUAUAACAAGAAAAUUAGAAAUAAACAAUUCUAUAAGUGCUCAUUAGCCUAAAAUGAAAAGAAAGAGAGAGAUCACGAAUAAACAACAUAAUCGAAAAUUAACCUCUGAUGAAAAUAUAUUAAACAAUCGUAAGGAAAGUGUAGCAAAACUUGCGAGUUUUGUAAAUACUUCUGCAAAGAAAGAUGUCACAAAUGAACCAGUACAUAAAAUGAGUAGACAAGGUAUUAGAAGAUCUCUGCGAAACAGUACAAUUAUUAUAAACGACAGUGAAAAUGAGUCAAGUGAUAAAGAAGCAACAAACAAUUCGGUUAUUGAAUGUAGCCCACACAUAAGUAGACCACCUUUACAACAAUCAUCUUCGCUCAAACAAAAAAGACAAUUGAAUACUUUAAAGCCAAGAACGAGGUCAAGUGUGAUAUUACUAGAUAAUGAUUCAUCCUCUGCUUCUUCAGAUAUACAAACUUCUUUAGAAAAAAGAAAUAUAAAUGGAGAGAAUAUAGCACCAUCACAAAUAGAAGAUGAUGUUGUGGAAUUGUGGUCAUGCCUGGAUAAGUCAACCAAGAAAAAUAAAAUAUAUAAAACAUGUAAAAAUAACUUAAAAAUAGAGGACACCUUUAUAAUUGAUAGGAAACCAGACUUGACGAAUCUUGAAGAUUUAGAAAUAAACACAACUCCUGAAUUGGUGCAUAAAAAACGAAAAAUACAGAUAAAAGAUCAGUCCACUAAAUAUACCAAUAAAUAUAACAAUAAGAAAAGUAAAAAGAAAAAGAAGUCAAAUGGGAAGCAUAAAGAAGCAUUGAGAGAAAUAGUCAUCGAUGGAUGUAAUGUAGCAAUGGCUCAUACGAAUGGUCGCGAGUUUUCGGAAAAGGGCAUAAAGUUAAUGGUGGAUUAUUUUGAAUCAAGAGGCCACAUUGUAAAAGUUUUUUUACCACAACACGUUCGACGGAGAAGGUAUCAGCUUCUUGAAGAAAUGUAUACAGAUGGCAUAGUUGUUUUUACACCGAGUCGAAAUAUCGAAGGCAAACGAAUAACGCCCUAUGAUGAUAGAUUCAUCCUGGAAUAUGCAACUAAAUGUGGAGGAAUAGUUAUUUCUUCUGAUCAGUAUAGAGAUCUGUAUAGAGAAAAACCUGAAUGGCGUGAUACAAUCCUGAAUCGUUUGCUAACGCCGACAUUUGUCGGUGAUAUCAUUAUGUUCCCAGAGGAUCCAAUGGGUAGAGGUGGACCUAAUCUCCAUACAUUCUUAAGACACUAAUUAACUUUUGUUAUAGCAUAUAUUUGGAUAUUUCUUUUUUUUCUCCGUUUUUAUGCCUCCUUCGUAUAUACCUCGAGUAAAGGAACAAGGGAAAAAUUAAUACUUUUCUUUCUUCUAAGAUUUAUGCGAUAGUAUUUUUCGAAAUAUAUAUACAAUUGAGAAAUUUGUGUAUUAUUGGAAGAAGAAAGAACUUCAAUCUAUAAAAAUUUUCAGGAUCUACAUCGGAGAAAAAGUCGAAUUUAGCAUAAAAUAUAU
rnacentral:misc_RNA from 1 species